AACGUAGGAGACAAACGUUAUCCGGAGUUACUGGGCGUAAAGGGCGUGUAGGCGGUCUGUUAAGUCUGGCGUGAAAGCUCUCGGCUAAACCGGGAGAGGUCGUUGGAUACUGGCAGACUAGAGGACGGUAGAGGCGUGUGGAAUUCCGGGUGUAGUGGUGAAAUGCGUAGAGAUCCGGAGGAACACCAGUGGCGAAGGCGACACGCUGGGCCGUACCUGACGCUAAAGCGCGAAAGCUAGGGGAGCAAACAGG
rnacentral:rRNA from 1 species